AAGUAGUUUGCAAGGUUACCACUGCUUCUGUGCCACUGGUUAUAAUGGUACUUACUGUGAGAGUACUACAGCAAACAAAACAACCGUCAUAACUACAACUUUACCUCUACCAACUACAGCUAUUCCAACUAAUCCAUCGACAG